GGAUAAUCUUCCUUAGAGUGGGGAAUAACUAGUCGAAAGAUUAGCUAAUACCGCAUAAGACCACAGGGGCUUCGGCCCAAGGGGUUAAAGGAGCAAUUCGCUCUAAGAUGAGUCUGCGCUCGAUUAGCUAGUUGGUGAGGUAAUGGCUCACCAAGGCGACGAUCGAUAGGUGGUCUGAGAGGACGGCCACCCACACUGGGACUGAGACACGGCCCAGACUCCUACGGGAGGCAGCAGUAGGGAAUAUUGCACAAUGGAGGAAACUCUGAUGCAGCGACGCCGCGUGAGUGACGAAGGCCUUCGGGUCGUAAAGCUCUGUUCUCAGGGAAAAAGAAAGUGAUUGUACCUGAGGAGAAAGGACCGGCUAACUUCGUGCCAGCAGCCGCGGUAAGACGAGGGGUCCAAGCGUUGUUCGGAAUUAUUGGGCGUAAAGCGGGUGUAGGUGGAUCUAUAAGUCAGGAGUGAAAGCCCCAAGCUUAACUUGGGAAGUGCUUUUGAUACUGUAGAUCUUGAAUGUGGGAGAGGAUCGUGGAAUUCCAGGU
rnacentral:rRNA from 1 species